AAGAACUUAAGAGUUCAAGGUUCUCUGACAACACCUUGCAUAUCUGAGUGUUACAGACAAGCUCAAGAGACCACUUCCAGUGAACACGCCGAUAUUGCUAAUGUUUCUUCUAUUCAGUAGAAAAAUGUGAGCGCUGCUGGCCAGGCCUGGCUGCCUCGAUGCUUUCGCAUGCAGCCUCUUCUCUUUGGACCCUUUGUGGUGACGGACGGGCAGAUCCAGCACAACGCAGAGCAUCUGGUGCGCUCGGGGUCAACAGUUGUUCCGCUCUGUAUCUACUUCCUUCACUAGAUGGGCCAGACAGGAGUGUUACCGUAUAUCGAAUGGGCCGGUAUACCUGUGGAUAGGCGUGUUCUUGCAGGGCAGCACAGGAAGGGUUGCAAGGCGACCUGCUCGCUCUCUGCAAGCUAAGGUGCACAGAAAUCCUCCUGACACCCUCCUCCAGUGACUUCCCAUCUGUCAUCCGCCUGAUGGUCUUCAUGGUCACCGUCAAUGCCUUUUUCUUCUGAUACCCUAGACGCGUCCAUGACCUGUCCCCAAUGCAUUCAGUCUGUGGCGUCCAAAUCCCUCCUGGGUAUCUCACUUCCUUUGAUUCCUCCACCAUCUUUGCUGCACCUUGUAAUGCCUCUUAAUGCCUUUAAUCUCUGCCCUCACUUGCCCAGUGGGUCUUUUUGUUAUUUACCAUCUUUAUUUCUCCCCUAGUCAAGCCAGUCACCACUGCAUGUCUGUCAGCUGGUCUCAAAGCAGUCUCCAUACACCCUUGCAGCCUAACUUGAUCCAUCUAAGAACAUGUAGUGACAGUGAAACAAAGAUUUGGACUCAUCAAGAAUCUGUCUCAAGUUCUGGCAAGGAAACCAUGACCCUAAUGAAUGUUCAAGCCAGCAACCCUCCCCGUGCCCCAGCGCAGGAGGUCUCCAAGAAGGAAGAGCUUCAGCCAAGCUGAUAUGGCCCGUGCCCGGGAUCCUUAGGUUAGCAGGCCUCAGUCGGUCCUGCACUAUCACCCAUCAGCUUCAGGCAAUGACCUUUUUCUUUUGAACUAUCUGCUAGGCUUAAGACCCUAGUCAAUAAAAAUGCUUCAUGAGCUUGCACACCCAAAGUGUGGGUCACUGGGAGCCGGCAGUUUGGCUCCCACUCCGCAAGGCAGGAUUCAGGCCUCUGGAAGAAUUUUUAAUCUCAUUUUCCUUAUCUUCUCUAUGCCAGGAAAAAGUAAUGCCAGGAGCAUGCAGCCCUUUCUGUUCUGAAUCCUCCCAAACUUUCAUGCACUUGAUAGUUUGAUUGCAAUAUUAUUGUAUUCAUAUUACAGCCAAAGCUUUUUUUGUUGGUGGUGGUGGUAGAAAGCAAUUGUUACUGCAGUAGUGAUUGGUGAAAUAUGAAUAGAUAGAGAUGAUCAGUUGGAAAGACAUUUUAUGUAUUUGUGUGUGUCUGUACAAGUAGCAAAUAUGUUCCUGUAUAAAAAUAAA